UUAUAUGCAUGCUUUACAUUCCAUCACGAGAGAGAGGCUAAUAGGGCAUGAAUGUAAACAAAUAAUGUCUGACCUGAUAAGCCCUAGUGAUUUAAACUUGCCGGGGGAAAAUCUCAUUUUUUAUUGUUGUGUUCCACUAUGUGAUUCCAAUACUAGUAUUUUUUUUUAUAAAAUACCUGAGGAUGUGAGUUUGAUAAAUGCAGGGAUUGUGAAAAUAAAAAGGAAUGAAUGAGAACAUUUCAAGAUCAAUACAUGACAACAGUUGCUCGUUUCGAAGCAUUUCACACAAUUAGAUUAACGAUCAUGGACACAAUUUCGAAAAUGUCUGAAGAUAAUAGAUGUACUUUCUUGGUUUGACUAGAGAAGUUAUGAUGACUAGAACAGUAUGAUGAACACUAAAGAAGAUUUUGCCAGAUGAAAGGAAUUCCAUUGGUAACAGUCAUGAACACAAAUUGAAAACUGGUAUUUGAAACGCCUUAAGUUGUAAUUCCUCUUCAUGGCAAAUGCAUACCAGAUGAAAAAGAAACUAUCAAACAGUUCAAAGAAGAAUUACAGAAAACUUAGGAAGAAAACAAACAGUGAUAUUGAACAUUUGAUACACACGUCAAUGUGAUAUUGGACGUUUGAUACAAACAAAUUUUCAAAUGACGACAGUUGUAUAUCUUGUUAUACAGGAUUUCCAACAUAUAUAUGUAUAUUCAUAACAGUUUUCAAUGUAAUAAAACAUUAGCAAAAACAUUAAGAGCGUUUAUUAUGAAGUAAGCUAAACAAUCAGUUUGACUGGUAGAAAGAAACGGAUGUUGCAAGCUGACGAAAUGUAUUUUAGCAUAUUUUAAAGUCUUUUUCGUCUUACAUUAAAAUAAAUAAUAAAAUAAA